AUACGGAGGGCGCGAGCGUUGUUCGGAAUCACUGGGCGUAAAGCGGGUGUAGGCGGCCUGUCAAGUCAGAUGUGAAAGCCCACGGCUCAACCGUGGAAGUGCAUCUGAAACUGGCAGGCUUGAGUACCGGAGAGGGGAGUGGAAUUCCUGGUGUAGGGGUGAAAUACGUAGAUAUCAGGAGGAACACCGGUGGCGAAGGCGACUUCCUGGACGGAUACUGACGCUGAGACCCGAAAGCGUGGGGAGCAAACAGGAUUAGAUACCCUAGUAGUCC
rnacentral:rRNA from 1 species